UGGAAGACAUAAUACAGUAAUGGGCUGAUACAAGUGUUUAAUAAAUAUUACCAUAUGUCCAAUUGUUUUGUUUAGGUCGGUUGUACGAUGUCGUUUUCAUUUUUCUUUUUGGUAUUCAUUCUUCAAUUCUUUCGGCCUAAUUUCAUCUGGGUUUUUUUUCGAAUUCUCCUUAGUAUGAUGCUUGUCCAGACUCAAUCAAGGAAGAAACACAGUAGAAAGUUUGUGAUGUCAUUAAAUGAGGAAGAUAUCUGUAAUGCUGGUAAUUGCAACUGCUUAAUGUAGUCAAAGCUUGUAAACUUUUUAGUUCAAGUUAUGUUUUCGUUGUAGAGUUGAUAAAACUAAGGAAAUUAUAUGUAGUAAUAUUUGUAUGAAUAAAUUAGAUGCAAGGAUUAUUUUGUGUAUAGUCUUAUUAAAAUUUGUAUACAAUAGUUCAUUGUCCAAAAUGGAUUAUUUUUUAAUUGUAAUUGUUAAUUGUAAAUUUUCAAUAGCAUCAAUAUAUAAAGUGCCAUCCCAAAUGACCAUGACUA